rnacentral:lncRNA from 1 species
GAUUCACAAAGAGCGGAGAUGCCAGAUCUUCUUUGGAGAAAUAAAUUUGGCAUGCUUCCUCGUUCUCAACCUCUUACUAGGUGCUUGGUUCGCGACAGAAAUGAAAAUCAGAAUGGUUUGAAAUUGAAAUCAGCACCAUCAAAUUUCUCGAUGCACUGGGUUAGCGAUCAGAAUCAGAAUCAAAAUCAAAAUUGGAAUAAAAAUUUGAAUCCAUAUAGGAGACUAGAAAUUGAGUACUAUGUAGAUCGGAUCAUUCUCAUUCUACUCCAUAAUCAGAAUCGAAAUGAGACUCCUUCCAACCAAACGGUUGGAAUGG